rnacentral:rRNA from 1 species
CGGUUAAGUUAGAAAGGGCGCACGGUGGAUGCCUUGGCACUAGGAGCCGAUGAAGGACGGGACUAACACCGAUAUGCUUCGGGGAGCUGUAAGUAAGCUUUGAUCCGGAGAUUUCCGAAUGGGGAAACCCACUGUUCGUAAUGGAACAGUAUCUUUACCUGAAUACAUAGGGUACUGAAGGCAGACCCGGGGAACUGAAACAUCUAAGUACCCGGAGGAAGAGAAAGCAAAUGCGAUUUCCUGAGUAGCGGCGAGCGAAACGGAAUUAGCCCAAACCAAGAGGCUUGCCUCUUGGGGUUGUAGGACACUCAACAUGGAGUUACAAAGGAACGGGGUAAAUGAAGUGAUCUGGAAAGGUCCGUCAAAGAAGGUAAAAACCCUGUA